UCCUACGGGGGGGCUGCAGUGGGGAAUAUUGCACAAUGGGCGGAAGCCUGAUGCAGCGACGCCGCGUGAGGGAUGACGGCCUUCGGGUUGUAAACCUCUUUCAGCAGGGAAGAAGCCACAAGUGACGGUACCUGCAGAAGAAGCGCCGGCUAACUACGUGCCAGCAGCCGCGGUAAUACGUAGGGCGCAAGCGUUGUCCGGAAUUAUUGGGCGUAAAGAGCUCGUAGGCGGUUUGUCGCGUCUGCUGUGAAAGCCCGGGGCUCAACCCCGGGUCUGCAGUGGGUACGGGCAGACUAGAGUGCAGUAGGGGAGACUGGAAUUCCUGGUGUAGCGGUGAAAUGCGUUAGAUAUCAGGAGGAACACCGAUGGCGAAGGCAGGUCUCUGGGCUGUUACUGACGC
rnacentral:rRNA from 1 species